CCUACGGGAGGCAGCAGUGAGGAAUAUUGGUCAAUGGGCGAGAGCCUGAACCAGCCAAGUCGCGUGAAGGAUGAAGGAUCUAUGGUUUGUAAACUUCUGUCAGCAGGGAAGAACGGGCACUGUGCUAAUCAGCAGUGAAUUGACGGUACAUGCAAAAGAAGCACCGGCUAACUCCGGGCCAGCAGCCGCGGUAAUACGGAGGGUGCGAGCGUUAAUCGGAAUGACUGGGCGUAAAGCGCUCGUAGGCAGUAUGUCAAGUCAAGGGUGAAAUCCCCGCGCUCAACGUGGGAACUGCCUUUGAAACUGGCAAACUGGAGUGUGUUAGAGGAUAGUGGAAUUCCAGGUGUAGGAGUGAAAUCCGUAGAUAUCUGGAGGAACAUCAGUGGCGAAGGCGACUAUCUGGCACAUAACUGACGCUGAGGAGCGAAAGCGUGGGUAGCAAACAGGAUUAGAUACCCCUGUAGUC
rnacentral:rRNA from 1 species